rnacentral:rRNA from 1 species
GACGAACGCUGGCGGCGUGCCUAAUACAUGCAAGUCGAGCGCAGGAAACUGACGGAACUCUUCGGAGGGAAGGCAGUGGAAUGAGCGGCGGACGGGUGAGUAACACGUAAGGAACCUGCCUCAAGGAUUGGGAUAACUCCGAGAAAUCGGAGCUAAUACCGGAUAGUUCAACGGACCGCAUGGUCCGUUGAUGAAAGGCGCUCCGGCGUCACCUUGAGAUGGCCUUGCGGUGCAUUAGCUAGUUGGUGGGGUAACGGCCCACCAAGGCGACGAUGCAUAGCCGACAUGAGAGGGUGAUCGGCCACACUGGGACGGAGACACGGCCCAGACUCCUACGGGAGGCAGCAGUAGGGAAUCUUCCACAAUGGACGAAAGUCUGAUGGAGCAACGCCGCGUGAGUGAUGAAGGUUUUCGGAUCGUAAAACUCUGUUGUAAGGGAAGAACACGUACGAGAGGGAAUGCUCGUACCUUGACGGUACCUUACGAGAAAGCCACGGCUAACUACGUGACAGCCGCCGCCGUAAUAC